rnacentral:tRNA from 1 species
AGCCCAUCGCUCCUUAUUUACC